AGUUCCGGUGCGGUCGGCGCCUUUCCCAAGAAACGCGAGAGGGAAAUGACCCCCCACCGAACCCACCCUUUCCCGCCCGGGACCUGCGCUCACUCGGGCGGGUGGACAUCACCGCUCGGCCGGCUUUUCGGGUGCCCCGCGGCUUUACGCUCAGCGCACACCACCGCAGAAAAGACUUCGGCCCCCGCCGGGACUGGCAUCCCAGUGCGAGGGCCUGACCACCAAGGAAGACGAGACCUUCCCG
rnacentral:ncRNA from 24 species